rnacentral:rRNA from 1 species
GACGAACGCUGGCGGCAGGCCUAACACAUGCAAGUCGAGCGCCCCGCAAGGGGAGCGGCGGACGGGUGAGUAACGCGUGGGAACGUGCCCUUUGCUACGGAAUAGCCCCGGGAAACUGGGAGUAAUACCGUAUAAGCCCUACGGGGAAAGAUUUAUCGGCAAAGGAUCGGCCCGCGUUGGAUUAGGUAGUUGGUGGGGUAAUGGCCUACCAAGCCGACGAUCCAUAGCUGGUUUGAGAGGAUGAUCAGCCACACUGGGACUGAGACACGGCCCAGACUCCUACGGGAGGCAGCAGUGGGGAAUCUUAGACAAUGGGCGCAAGCCUGAUCUAGCCAUGCCGCGUGAGCGAUGAAGGCCUUAGGGUUGUAAAGCUCUUUCGUGGGGGAAGAUAAUGACUGUACCCCAAGAAGAAGCCCCGGCUAACUCCGUGCCAGCCGCCGCGGUAACAC